rnacentral:rRNA from 1 species
UACGGAGGAUGCAAGCGUUAUCCGGAAUGAUUGGGCGUAAAGCGUCCGCAGGUGGCUGUGUAAGUCUGCUGUCAAAGAGCGAAGCUCAACUUCGUAAAGGCAGUGGAAACUACACGGCUAGAGUGCGUUCGGGGCAGAGGGAAUUCCUGGUGUAGCGGUGAAAUGCGUAGAGCUCGGGAAGAACAUCGGUGGCGAAAGCGCUCUGCUGGACUGCAACUGACACUCAGGGACGAAAGCUAGGGGAGCGAAUGGG